AGAGUUUGAUCCUGGCUCAGAACGAACGCUGGCGGCGUGCCUAACACAUGCAAGUCGAACGGAGAUAAGGGGCUUGCUCCUUAUUUUAGUGGCGCACGGGUGAGUAACGCGUGGAUAAUCUACCUUGGAAUCUGGGAUAACAUUUCGAAAGGGGUGCUAAUACCGGAUAAGACCACGAUCUCUUUGGAGAUUGCGGUAAAAGGGGGCCUCUGUAUAUGCUUCUGUUUCAAGAUGAGUCCGCGUACCAUUAGCUAGUUGGCAGGGUAAUGGCCUACCAAGGCGACGAUGGUUAGCUGGUCUGAGAGGAUGAUCAGCCACACUGGAACUGAGACACGGUCCAGACUCCUACGGGAGGCAGCAGUGGGGAAUUUUGCGCAAUGGGGGAAGCCCUGACGCAGCAACGCCGCGUGAGUGAUGAAGGCCUUCGGGUCGUAAAGCUCUGUCAGAGGGAAAGAAGUGUAUGGCGGUU
rnacentral:rRNA from 1 species